CAAGCCCAGGAGCGGUUUCCCUAAGGCGUGUCCCGGGCGUGCGCCCUGCCCCCUCGCGCCCGCCUGGUGCCAAAGCACGCUCCCUGCACGCCACCCUAUGUCGCCAAAGGGAGUGGGACCUGGGUCACUCUGACUCUGCUCCGGGGGCAAUCCCUGCAGGUUCUCGGGUGCCGCGCCAGGGUCUGCUGGUCUGAAUUUGGGCGGGGUUCCAAGGGGAGAGAGUGAGUGACUGGUCUUCCCUCUUCCCUCCCCCACCUGCACUUGAACCAUCUUAGGCUGGAGGGUGAGCGAGGCAAGUGGCUGCCAGGGCCCCCGCUGUGGCCUGCAGGGCCAGUCAGCACUUUCCAUGCCGGCCCCGAACUUCUGGAUGGAACUGGCAUCCAUGCAAGGAUCAGCUGCUGGUCUGAGAGGUCCAGCUGCUGAGGCUCUGAGGCCUGGAGUCACCAGGCCUGGCUUCCAAGCUGUGUGGCCUCAGACCAGUACCUCUGCCUCUGUGGACCUGGUAGCUCCAUUUGUGAAAUGGAAAAAGACAACGUGAGGGCCGCAUGGGGAAGUAUUUGUAUGGGAACAUGAUUUGAAAGGUCUUUGGAGAAAUAUUGCCAAUAAAAGUGGCCACAAAUCUUGCGAUGGCAGGAACAAUUUGUUUCCUCGAGUGUCCCCCAAAGUUCCUUGGAUCCAAAUGUAAGCAUUCUUUUCAUUAAUAUCAGCAGAACUAGACAUGGUUGGGCUUUGUAGGGAGCAGGGAGGUAUCUCAGAUUCCAGAGCUCCCAUCCCUUGGGGGAAAUACAAGCUUUGCCACCUCUAAAUUUUUCCCCCAACAAAUAAAACAGAGCCAUGACCUCAGCAAGGUCACAAUAUGAGUCAGUGAUAGGCGCUAGAAAUAGAACACAGGCAUUCUGAGUCCCCACCUGCACCAUUCACCAAUUCACCCACUCACCCCCUCUCCAGGAAGGGAAUCUCUUACCCUUGAGGGCAAACAUUGCAGGUAACAAAC
rnacentral:lncRNA from 10 species